rnacentral:rRNA from 1 species
UACGUAGGGUGCAAGCGUUAAUCGGAAUUACUGGGCGUAAAGCGUGCGCAGGCGGUUCUAUAAGACAGAUGUGAAAUCCCCGGGCUCAACCUGGGAACUGCAUUUGUGACUGUAGAGCUGGAGUGCGGCAGAGGGGGGUGGAAUUCCGCGUGUAGCAGUGAAAUGCGUAGAGAUGCGGAGGAACACCGAUGGCGAAGGCAGCCCCCUGGGUCAAAACUGACGCUCAUGCACGAAAGCGUGGGGAGCAAACAGG